UACCGAGGGGGCAAGCGUUAUUCGGAAUUCUUGGGCGUAAAGGGCGCGUAGGCGGCUUGGCAAGUGGAUGGUGAAAUCCCUCGGCUUAACCGAGGAACUGCCGUCCAAACUGCUUCGCUUGAGACCGGGAGAGGUGAGUGGAAUUCCCAGUGUAGCGGUGAAAUGCGUAGAUAUUGGGAGGAACACCAGUGGCGAAGGCGGCUCACUGGACCGGUACUGACGCUGAUGCGCGAAAGCGUGGGGAGCAAACGGG
rnacentral:rRNA from 1 species